GAUGAACGCUGGCGGCGUGCCUAAUACAUGCAAGUCGAACGAAGAUCUAGCUUGCUAGAUCUUAGUGGCGAACGGGUGAGUAAUACAUAAAUAAUCUGCCCAUAUGACUGGGAUAACUAUUGGAAACGAUAGCUAAUACCGGAUAGGUUGAUCGGAGGCAUCUCUGAUGAAUUAAAGUAGGAUUUCUACACAAAUGGAUGAGUUUAUGGCGCAUUAGUUAGUUGGUGGGGUAACGGCCUACCAAGACGAUGAUGCGUAGCCGACCUGAGAGGGUGACCGGCCACACUGGGACUGAGACACGGCCCAGACUCCUACGGGAGGCAGCAGUGGGGAAUCUUCCGCAAUGGACGAAAGUCUGACGGAGCAACGCCGCGUGAGUGAAGAAGGCCUUCGGGUCGUAAAGCUCUGUCGUUUGGGACGAACGUGCUGUGUGUAAAUAAUGCGCAGUAAUGACGGUACCAAAGGAGGAAGCCACGGCUAACUACGUGCCAGCAGCCGCGGUAACAC
rnacentral:rRNA from 1 species